GUGGGGAAUUUUGGACAAUGGGCGCAAGCCUGAUCCAGCAAUGCCGCGUGCAGGAAGAAGGCCUUCGGGUUGUAAACUGCUUUUGUACGGAACGAAACGGUCCUGGUUAAUACCCGGGGCUAAUGACGGUACCGUAAGAAUAAGCACCGGCUAACUACGUGCCAGCAGCCGCGGUAAUACGUAGGGUGCAAGGGUUAAUCGGAAUUACUGGGCGUAAAGCGUGCGCAGGCGGUUUUGUAAGACAGGCGUGAAAUCCCCGGGCUCAACCUGGGAAUUGCGCUUGUGACUGCAAGGCUGGAGUGCGGCAGAGGGGGAUGGAAUUCCGCGUGUAGCAGUGAAAUGCGUAGAUAUGCGGAGGAACACCGAUGGCGAAGGCAAUCCCCUGGGCCUGCACUGACGCUCAUGCACGAAAGCGUGGGGAGCAAACAGGAUUAGAAACCCCGGUAGUCC
rnacentral:rRNA from 1 species